rnacentral:rRNA from 1 species
UAGUGGCGAACGGGUGAGUAACACGUGGGCAAUCUGCCCUUCACUCUGGGACAAGCCCUGGAAACGGGGUCUAAUACCGGAUAACACCUGCCUGGGCAUCUGGGUGGGUUAAAAGCUCCGGCGGUGAAGGAUGAGCCCGCGGCCUAUCAGCUUGUUGGUGAGGUAGUGGCUCACCAAGGCGACGACGGGUAGCCGGCCUGAGAGGGCGACCGGCCACACUGGGACUGAGACACGGCCCAGACUCCUACGGGAGGCAGCAGUGGGGAAUAUUGCACAAUGGGCGAAAGCCUGAUGCAGCGACGCCGCGUGAGGGAUGACGGCCUUCGGGUUGUAAACCUCUUUCAGCAGGGAAGAAGCGAAAGUGACGGUACCUGCAGAAGAAGCGCCGGCUAACUACGUGCCAGCAGCCGCGGUAAUACGUAGGGCGCAAGCGUUGUCCGGAAUUAUUGGGCGUAAAGAGCUCGUAGGCGGCUUGUCACGUCGGGUGUGAAAGCCCGGGGCUUAACCCCGGGUCUGCAUUCGAUACGGGCUAGCUAGAGUGUGGUAGGGGAGAUCGGAAUUCCU